rnacentral:lncRNA from 1 species
CCCUCUCUAAGAAAGAUAACAAUCAGCAACUACUCUAAAGACUCGGUAACAGCAGGUAACAAAAACAACUCAGAAAGAAACUUCUCUAAAGACUCGAUCAACAUUGUGAACCAUUAUUCUCUCCAACUGUAGUAGUAACUUAUAACUGCCUGCUUUGCACGUCCUUGCUAUGAGGCAAUUGUAACAUUCUCUCCCCCUUAAAAUUACACCCUUGUCCUCAAGGGUGUAGUCAUGAAAUUGAUUUAUUAUGGUUUCUACUGGUUCCCAUGUGGCAUCUAAUGGAGGUAAGCCUCCUUACACGAUUCAAGAUUGCUUGAGGCUUUUGGCUCCUUAUUCCAUCUUCUUCUCUCAUGAUUGGGAGUUGAGUUUGUACCCCAUCAUUCACCCCUAGUUUUGGCUAGAGAAGGGAGACAUGAAAAAUGUGGUGAAUUCUAAAAUCACUUGGUAGAUCCAAUUAGUAGGCAACUACUCCAAUUCCUUUCAAGAUCUGGAAUGGACCAAAAAAUUUAGGAGAAAGUUUCAAGUUCCUCCUUAUAACUGUCUGUAUGGCUGGAGCCUUAAAUUAACUCAGUCACCCACUAAAAAUUUUUGCUCCUUGUGUUUUGAAUCAUAUACUCAUUUCAUGCGUUCUUGUGCUUCCUUGAUCUUUUUUCUAAGUUCUUU